rnacentral:tRNA from 1 species
GGGCCUAUGGUCUAGUUGGUCAUGACGUCACCCUCACACGGUGGAGGUCCUGGGUUCAAAUCCCAGUGGGCCCA